rnacentral:rRNA from 1 species
UGUUGCGGUGAAUACGUUCCCGGGUCUUGUACACACCGCCCGUCAAACCAUGAAAGUGACCAACACCCGAAGUCCGAUUCGUCGGCCUAAGGUGGGGGCACUGAUUGGGGUU